CCUACGGGGGGCUGCAGUGGGGAAUAUUGGACAAUGGGGGCAACCCUGAUCCAGCCAUGCCGCGUGUGUGAAGAAGGCCCUCGGGUUGUAAAGCACUUUCAGUGAGGAAGAACGCCUGGUGGUUAAUACCCAUCAGGAAAGACAUCACUCACAGAAGAAGCACCGGCUAACUCCGUGCCAGCAGCCGCGGUAAUACGGAGGGUGCGAGCGUUAAUCGGAAUUACUGGGCGUAAAGCGCGCGUAGGUGGCUUGAUAAGCCGGUUGUGAAAGCCCCGGGCUCAACCUGGGAACGGCAUCCGGAACUGUCAAGCUAGAGUGCAGGAGAGGAAGGUAGAAUUCCCGGGGUAGCGGUGAAAUGCGUAGAGAUCGGGAGGAAUACCAGUGGCGAAGGCGGCCUUCUGGACUGACACUGACACUGAGGUGCGAAAGCGUGGGUAGCAAACAGGAUUAGAUACCCCUGUAGUC
rnacentral:rRNA from 1 species